GAAAAAAAGGGGACGGAGGGGAUUAAGUCGUAUAUGCACUUACGACUUAAUCCCCUCCGUCCCCUUUCUGCC
rnacentral:antisense_RNA from 1 species